UUUCAGACAGAGAAAGUCUGAAAAUCAAGGUGGGAAGGCUCUGGCUCUGAGUCUCCCCCUGCUGCUUCCCCCUGUUUCUGCAGGGGGUCCCCAAAUCCUGAAGGGCUGUGCUACCCCAAAUGUCUGCCACCUGCAAGUGAACACGACCCUGGGCCCGGAAGCAUCUGGAUUUCAUCUCAUCAGCAAGCCUGAAUGCAACUAUGUGGCUACUCCCACCCCACCAGGUCCCCCUGCAGCUACAACUCUGACCAAGGAUAAGGUCACCACCUGUCUCACCUGCUCAGGCCUCAAUAAUUGUGACCCUGUCCUCUGCCCAGCAGAUAGGAACUACUGCCUGCAGACAUUGGGCAUCCUGGCCUUAGAGGACGGUAACUCUGUUGUCUGGAGAAGUGGCUCCUGCGUGGCCUCCAAGGACUGCGGAUUUGGCAACUCCAUCUCUGCGUUCACCUACAGCGUUGACUUGGGCUUCUGGAUCAACUCCACCUGUUGCCAAGGCAACUGCCAAGAACUCACUCCUCUCGAAGUUCUGCCAACCUCACACACCCUGAGCGAGUUCCUGUGUCCUACGUGUCCUAGCGGCCAGCCGGGGCCCUGCAAUUCCUCCUUCUAUAUGCAGUGUCCCA
rnacentral:lncRNA from 1 species